CUUUAACGCGGGAAAGACACA
rnacentral:miRNA from 1 species